rnacentral:rRNA from 1 species
UACGUAGGGUGCAGGCGUUAUCCGGAAUUAUUGGGCGUAAAGAGCUCGUAGGCGGUUUGUCGCGUCUGCUGUGAAAACCCGAGGCUCAACCUCGGGCCUGCAGUGGGUACGGGCAGACUAGAGUGCGGUAGGGGAGAUUGGAAUUCCUGGUGUAGCGGUGGAAUGCGCAGAUAUCAGGAGGAACACCGAUGGCGAAGGCAGAUCUCUGGGCCGUAACUGACGCUGAGGAGCGAAAGCGUGGGGAGCGAACAGG